AUCUUCACUGGCCAAGACCCCCCUUCCUUAUCAAGCCACUGUUAACAUUAAAGCAAAAGGAGAUUUAGCUGAGAGCAAGAAGGGGAUGUAUUUCCCGCCUCCAUCUCCGGCACCUGCUUCUGCACAUGGACGGAAAGGUUCAGCCGCACCUAACCAACCAAAACUGCACAAAUAUCCUACAGGACCAGAGGGUUCAGCUGCUCCUAAC